rfam:Glycine soja cultivar W05 scaffold1265_1, whole genome shotgun sequence.
AUGUUAACGAAGUGACUCCAACAUCGGUUUUCAAGAAAACCGAUGUUAUAGUCGAUUUGUUAACAU